rnacentral:rRNA from 1 species
CAGUCGCCGCGGUAAUACGAAGGGGGCUAGCGUUGCUCGGAAUGACUGGGCGUAAAGGGCGCGUAGGCGGAUUGUUUAGUUAGGCGUGAAAUUCCUGGGCUUAACCUGGGGACUGCGCUUAAUACAGGCAGUCUAGAGUGAGGAAGAGGGUUGUGGAAUUCCCAGUGUAGAGGCGAAAUUCGUAGAUAUUGGGAAGAACACCGGUGGCGAAGGCGGCAACCUGGUCCUUGACUGACGCUGAGGCGCGAAAGCGUGGGGAGCAAACAGGAUUAGAGACCCCCGUAGUCCCUGUCUCUUAUAC